AUGAACGCUGGCGGCGUGCCUAAUACAUGCAAGUCGGGCGAACAGAUGAGGAGCUUGCUCCUCUGACGUUAGCGGCGGACGGGUGAGUAACACGUGGUUAACCUACCUAUAAGUCUGGGAUAACUUCGGGAAACCGGAGCUAAUACCGGAUAAUAUAUUUAACCGCAUGGUUCAAUAGUGAAAGACGGUUUUGCUGUCACUUAUAGAUGGAUCCGCGCCGCAUUAGCUAGUUGGUAAGGUAACGGCUUACCAAGGCGACGAUGCGUAGCCGACCUGAGAGGGUGAUCGGCCACACUGGAACUGAGACACGGUCCAGACUCCUACGGGAGGCAGCAGUAGGGAAUCUUCCGCAAUGGGCGAAAGCCUGACGGAGCAACGCCGCGUGAGUGAUGAAGGUCUUCGGAUCGUAAAACUCUGUUAUUAGGGAAGAACAAAUGUGUAAGUAACUAUGCACGUCUUGACGGUACCUAAUCAGAAAGCCACGGCUAACUACGUG
rnacentral:rRNA from 1 species